rnacentral:piRNA from 1 species
UGACACAGCUGGAGUUGUCACAGAG